rnacentral:rRNA from 1 species
GUAUUCCGCUCCAUAGCGUAUAUUAAAGUUGUUGCAGUUAAAAAGCUCGUAGUUGAAUUUCGGAAUCAAUAUGUUGGUCGUGCCUUGGUACGUACUGGCGUCAUUGGUUUCUACCUUCUGAAGAAUCUCGAUGUCAUUAAUUUGGUGUCUUGGGGAAUCAGGACUGUUACUUUGAAAAAAUUAGAGUGUUUAAAGCAGGCUCACGCUUGAAUACAUUAGCAUGGAAUAAUGAAAUAGGACGUUUGAUUCUAUUUUGUUGGUUUCUAGGAUCGACGUAAUGAUUAAUAGGGAUAGUUGGGGGCAUUAGUAUUCAAUUGUCAGAGGUAAAAUUCUUGGAUUUAUUGAAGACUAACUACUGCGAAAGCAUUUGCCAAGGAUGUUUUCAUUAAUCAAGAACGAAAGUUAGGGGAUCGAAGACGAUCAGAUACCGUCGUAGUCUUAACCAUAAACUAUGCCGACUAGGGAUCGGAUGAUGUUAAUUUUUUAAUGACUCAUUCGGCACCUUACGGGAAACA